rnacentral:rRNA from 1 species
UACGUAGGGUGCAAGCGUUGUCCGGAAUUAUUGGGCGUAAAGCGCUCGUAGGCGGUUUUUCGCGUCUGCUGUGAAAACUCGGGGCUUAACCCCGGGCCUGCAGUGGGUACGGGCAGACUAGAGUGCGGUAGGGGAGACUGGAAUUCCUGGUGUAGCGGUGAAAUGCGCAGAUAUCAGGAGGAACACCGGUGGCGAAGGCGGGUCUCUGGGCCGUAACUGACGCUGAGGAGCGAAAGCAUGGGGAGCGAACAGG